rnacentral:lncRNA from 1 species
CUGCAACAAAAUAUAUGAAAUAUUCGUUUUAUGUUCAUUUUAAAGUUCCAUAAUCGUAAUGAACAAUCUAUCUAGUAUCUAUCUUAUAACAUGAUCUCCCUUUUAGCGAAAAUAUAAUCUCUAUCUUGUAAUAUACUGAGUUGUUUCGAAGUUGACUGGGAAUAAUUAGCACUGUCAAAUCGUGAAGUCAUGUGACCAAAAUGAUGAAACAAUUUGAUCACAUACAUGAUUGAACGAAAAUUGAAUUUGGAAUUAUCAAACGUCUUUCCCCGUUUAUCAAACGUCUUUCGUCGUUUGAAAUUCUUAGCGGGAUGUGGCCAGUUUAGUGAUUUUAGUAAUAAUCGCGAUUCGGUUCAAGAGAAGCAAUAUAUGAGAGAUGAGGGAACAUAAUCUUUAUCGCUCUUUUUUGAACAUGUUCGAUUUGAUCAGAUAAAGUUGAGGAGAGUGAAGUAUGCCAAACCUGGCAUGCAUAUAUAUUCCAACACCGGUCGGAUAAAAGUGCAGACGAUAGUUAAUAAGUCUGCAGCCGAGACACCAUUUCGUUUCAAAAUUCGAAGGGCAUAUAACCUUUUAUUGUGUCAAAAUAUGGGUUUCAAUUGAGAUGACCCACUCAAACUAAUGUCUAAUCUUCAAGUCAGUACAUUUAUAUAUAUAUACGAAUCGUUAACUUUUAUAACCUUUUAACUUGUAAAUAGUAUGGCUACUUUUACCAAUUUGUAAUUUCAAGUUUUUCAGGUCGCUGGACACGCCAUGCACCUGCCAUUUGGAAAUUUUAAUAAAUCAUUCAUUUCAUGAUUAAAAAGAAGACAAAAAAGUGCGCAAAUGCUUUAGCUUCUUCAGAAUACAAUCUUUUAGAAUAUGGUCACGCUAAGGAAGAACUGCAUAGGAUCUUAGGUUGGAUGGAAACUGAAUAUGACUUAAGAAGUGACCAUGGUAACGAUGAUGAUGGUACUGUUGAUAUUGAUGGUACUGUUGAUGUCAUGUUACCAUGACAACAUGACUUCACCAUCAAUAUGGCCUAUAUCAACCAGAAAAGCCAUCUUAGCAGACAAAUAACCACGGUGACCUACCUUUUUAUUGCAGACAAGACAUUGUUAUGAAAUUUUGAAUGAUUUUUGAAAGUUAUUUGAAAAUCGCCAGUGUAGUUUUCGAGAAACUGAAUUUCAGCCUUUCCAAAGGCUAAAAUGCAAUCUUAAAGGCUAAUUCAAGGCUGAAAUUAGUUUCUCGAAAACUACACUGGCGAUUUUCAAAUAACUUUCAAAAAAGUUUCAAAACUUCAUAACAAUGUAUUUUCUGUAAUAAAAUGGUAGGUCACCGUGGUUAUUUGUCCGCUAAGACGGCUUUUUUGGUUGAUAUAGACCAUAUAGAUGGUGACGUCAUGUUGUCAUGGUAACAUGAAGAGUAGCGAUUGUGGGUUAAAAUUACUCUUUUAUUUUAGAGGAAACAAUGGCUUGUGCAAAAAAUUAGUUUUUUAUAUUCAAAUAGCUUUUAGUUUAAAACACUGACAUAUAUUGGAAACUUUAGGGAGCCUCCUUAAAUUACAACCGCUCAAAUAGAAAGAAUGAGACUAAAACUAAUAGAUUAAUUAAAACGUUUUAAGAGUCGCUCCGCGUACCUAUAGGAUAUAUUUAAAAUAUAGAAAGCAUCCUUAGUCUAAAAACGUGCUCAUAUUAGGUAUUACUGCCUAUACCCAUAAGUUUUAAUCGUUUGCCUUAGUGUAUAGGAGUGUAGCGUGCUAGUGUGGUUAUGGCGUGGUAACUCAUCGGACAUGACACCAAAUUUAAACAUUGUACAUGCAGAUAUUGAAUACCAUGCAUGAUGCAUGCAGCUAGCAAGUAAUUGCUACGGUUUCUUUAUUUGACAACAUUGUUUUCGUUCUAUCCUUGAACAUUAAUUUUUGGUGCAUGUGAUCACUCCCUUCUAACCAUUGAAACUGAAAAGCCUCCGUGCUCAAUCUUCAUGAUCAGCAAUUGAGGUACAGUUACGAAGGUGAAGUAUCUGACACGCUGUAGUUCCACGUAUAAUAGUGAGGCCAAGAUCCCAAGUCCCGUCUUUCAGCCUUCUCAUCCUCCU